rnacentral:rRNA from 1 species
UACGUAGGGGGCAAGCGUUGUCCGGAAUCAUUGGGCGUAAAGAGCGCGUAGGCGGUCCGGUAAGUCCGCUGUGAAAGUCAAGGGCUCAACCCUUGAAUGCCGGUGGAUACUGUCGGGCUAGAGUCCGGAAGAGGCGAGUGGAAUUCCUGGUGUAGCGGUGAAAUGCGCAGAUAUCAGGAGGAACACCAAUGGCGAAGGCAGCUCGCUGGGACGGUACUGACGCUGAGGCGCGAAGGCGUGGGGAGCGAACGGG